UACUAGAUUUUUUCUUCGCGCUGUUACCAGACCUGCUUCUGUCUAACGUUGGCAGUAUGGUUUCAUGUGUUUUCAGGCAGAUUGCAAAUGGCGCGUAGUAUUUUGUCAGUGGUCAACGUGUGACAGUUUGUAGGAAAAUUGAGAAAAUCGUUUCGAGUAAAGAAGUUACGGGAAGUGAACUGACGGAGAGAGGGGGAGAGAGAGAGAGAGAGAGAGAGAGAGAGAGAGAGAGACACGUGCGAGAAACAAUUUGUAUGGCAAGCACAAGCAUAAACAUUGUCGACCGCGAUACAGAGAUUAAUGAGUGACCGUGCAAUGGGCGACCCCGUACACGAGAAACAAUUUGUAGAGCAAGUAUCAGGGGGUUGUUGGGGGUUGCUGCGGACUGCGGCUUCUGCGGAUCCGCGGGUUCCUGACCGCACGAUGCCUUCUACCUCUGGGAAAACUAGACCCGCGAAACCCCAACACUCGGCUGUCCCUGGACGAGCCUGAUACAGGUUACCUUGACAACACUACUUCGACAUUACACGAGAAUUCCAUCUGUACCACUACCCCUGUAUCCUUUAUCCCGAAUUUACUCCUUCAAUACAUCCCACGAAACCGUCAUUAAAAAUGAACGCGAGACUGGCUAAUUAUUUAAACCUCCCUCCCUAGGUGGAAUGCCAUCAAAAUUGAAUAGACGAAAUGAAAAAAAAAAAAAAGUGAAGUCCCUAACGAAGAACUGCAAAAGAGUAUAAAAGGAGGUGAAAGUGAAGUGAAA